ensembl:lncRNA
UUUUUUUUUGCUUUCCAACAGUCCUGAAAAGCUCAUGCAUGUGUAGAAUCCAAAUUCCUGCAGUUCCUCAGAAGUCUCAGGGUUACUUGCUCCUCUCAGGGAGGAGCUUGUUUUACCACAGGCUUACCCAUCAAUAGAAAAACUUAGGGAAAAAUUUCAGUUUGGAUGUCAUGGUAUCAGACGGGUCUGUGCAGAAUCAAACACAAUUUUUUCAGAAUAAGGAAGAUAAGAGAUGAAAGCUCAAGUUCAUGUGACAUCCCAUCAUGCCAAGGAGAGGUCAAACUUUAGAAUGACAUUAUAGGCUAUUGGUAAGGAUUCUGUUGGAGAGUAGAGCUGUGCCCAAGGUGGCAGGGUAAUUUUGGCUUUACUGGCCUUAAUUUGUUUGCUUUUUUCUGACAGCUGGACAUACAGAAGGUGUAGAAACUUCCACAGCUGCACUGCCUGCUAUCUGUCUGUCAUUUGGUGUAGCUCUUGCAGAAGCCACAUAUGAGCUAUAGAUUGCCUAUGCCUGCAUUAAAGGUUGGAAGAAACAGCACAUUUUGUUUACCACUUUGUUAAUCCCUUUGAGAUCCAUACUGCCUUCUUGCUUACAUCAGCAGAUGGGAAAGAGAGAAUGAACUGUAACUUCUUACAACAAGUCCCUAACAAUUAGAAUUUGGUUGUUUACACCUGCAGAAUCAAAGAAGAGAGCCAUGGCCAAGCAAUUAGUCCAGUAAGAUGCAUCCCAUUUCCUUCUCGUUCUUUCCUCAGAGCUUUUCUGUGGGUGGUGGGUUGACCCGGCCAGCAGCUAAACACCCACACAGCUUCUCCCUUACUCCCCUGAGGUGGGAUGGGGGAGACAGUUGAAAGGGCAAAAGCAAGAAAAAGGGAUGGGUCAAGAUAAAGACAGUUUCAUAAGGUAAUGAAAGAAAAAAGGAUGAAAAAAAAAAGUAAGUGAUGGAAAGGCACUCACCACCUCCCACGAGCAGACUGAUGCCCAGCCGGUCUGCAAGCAAUGGCAACUUUGCAAAACCUCCCCCCCAGUUCCAUAACUGGGCAUGAUGUUACACAGUGUGCAGGACCUCUUUGGUCAGCUCAUGUCAGCCUACGUGCUGUGGGGGCAGAGUGAGAAACAGAGAAGGCCUUGAUGCUGUGCGAGCAGUGCUCAGCAGUAGCUUAAACACGGCUGUGUUAUCAAAAUUGCUUUGGCCACAAAUCUAAAACACAACACCACACAGGCUGCUAUGAGGAAACUUAACCCCCUCCCAACCAGACACAAUAUACUACCAGAGGCUGCAGGAAACUAAGGGCACUUUAUCCUUCAAGGAAACAUUAACAUGGAAGUUAAACAUACUUCAUCUUAGGAGCAUUGAUCCAACAUUUUUGAUAGUUCUAAUUUUACGGAGUGACUGUGUAAAAUUGGAGUGAAGAUAAGACAGAAACAAGUGAUAAGAAGUUAGCAGCAAGGGCAUUCAUGUUCUGUAGUAAGAGUGACUGUGACUGCAUCAUCCCCAUGCUUCUAGUCUUGUUUCUGCAUCUUCUGUGAGGCCACAGUCACCUUCUCCUUGAUACUUCAUCCAGCCAAAAGCACUGUAGGGGUUUGACAAUAAAAUUUUUGAGGUCUGGUAGCAAGGGCUUAAAAAAUAUUUUUUUUCAGCAGUCAGAGCUUAAGCCUUUUCUAUAUAUGGCAUUAACAAUACAAAUUUGACUCAGGAUAUUUUUUUUUCCUGAUUUGUAUUGGCAAUAUUGUAGCCUGAAGUAUAAAAAUAUUUUGGUCAGUUCUUUUUUUAGGCUGGUUGAAAUUUUACUGAGUGCAAAUUUUUUACUGGUUGAUGGAUGGAGCUAGUAAAGAUAAGUGAUAGUUUUUGUAAUACUUAAAUACAAAAGUUUUCCUAAAGAUGGAAAGAUAUUAUACCUUGCAUUAGAGGUAGAAAACCUGCUCCACAAAGAAAUAUAACCAUGCAGGACAAUGGAACUUCUGGUUUCUGCUCUCAUUAGACCAUCUGGCAUUCUUUUAAAAUUCAGAGUUGCUCAACUUCUUCAGCAUUGUGAGCCAGCAGCCAAUGCUGUCAUUUCCUAUUUGGCUGUAAAUACAGUUCUGGAAUCUAGAUAAUUUAGGAUUUUGCCACUGAGGCACAGAUGGAAUUAGGAAAUAAUAAAAUUAGGGUGGAAAUAAGAAAACCAGAACUUUAGCAAUAUAUUGAGGCUCUCAGAAUAGGAGUUGUUAGGUUUUUCUAAAUCUAAUUCCACCACAGUUACACAAAAUCAUUCACAGGCAGGAGGGAUUUAGCUCUUGGAUCACUUGUUUCUUUUGUUAGCACAGCUCCUCAUAUUCUAACAACUGUGUUCCAGUGAAUUCCUGCGCUGGAAGUUUCGUCUGGACCAUAGUAUACAAUAGCUGUAAAUGACACAAUCAAAUAUGCCUUUUGUCUCAAUUUAUUUUUACCAUUUAUCACCUCCCCUCCCCCAAAUAAUUUAUCCUCCCAGCUAACAAAUCCAAAUGUAUUUAGCCUUUCUCCAUAGGGUAAUAAGAAUGGCUGUAGCAGACAAGACCAGAGGCCCAAUGAGCACACAAUUAAAAAAGUAUCUGAAAAGGGCAGUGAGGUAGCAAUAAUGCCUUCUGUAUGCCUUCCCAUUUUCCAGAAAUAUGAGUACUGCAGACGUGCUAAGACAGUGCCAGUAUUCUGUAUUUAAAAGCUGUUAAUGUAUUUGCAUUUUGCCAUUUUGAUUUUCUGGAUUUUGUUUAUUCAAUCCUGAAUGUUACUGUAAACAUUGCUAUAUAGACUUUGAGAUAGGGUAACUAGAACUGAAAGCAACAUGCAAGUAGUGCACUGCACUAUAAAUGUGAUUAUCAUUAUGUUUUCUUAUCCUUUUCCUAAAGAAGUUCAUCUUUCUUGUGUUAUUAAUCACUUCUGAGCACUGAACCUUUGUUCAGAGAACUACUCACAGUGACUACAAGGCUUUUCCUGGUUGACACUAGCUUUUAGAAUUUGUCAUGUCUGUAUGUUUUUAUCCUCUUGUGCAUUAUGCUGCUUUGUGCUUUGGAAUACUGCUUCUCAACUACCACUUCUCACAUUGUUGUGAAGCCUCUCUCAGUACUUUUCAAUCAGCUUUAGAUCUGAAUUACUAAAUAUGUUCUUCAAACAUUGUCACAUCAUUAUUCGUGCCUUUUCCCACUUCAUUUAUGAACUGUGAACAGCUCAGUGUUAGGUAUGAAUCCUUGUGGGAUAACCUUUCUGUCAUUAAAAGACCCGGUUUACUUUUGUCUUUUAACUGGUUAGUCCAUGAACUGAGAAUCCUUCUCAUGCUAUAUAGAAUAACAGCGACAUGGGAAAAUAGGUCUGGAAAGAAAAACAAGAAAUCUAAUUUCUCAUCAUGCUAAUGCUACCUUACUGACAAAAUUUCUGACAGAGGUUUAUCUGAUCUUUUCUUAAAAAAAUCUGAUGAUUUUAAUUUUAGUCUAAUGAUUACACAGUAUCUUCAUCACUAAAAGGUUUUCCCAUAUAUACAUCUCAUUGGUACAACUGGUAUUUGUUAUUCCUUGUCCCAUGUCUCCUACUCUAAGAUGAUUUAUUGAUAUCCUUAUGAACAUUUGCUGUUGAAAACAUUUGUAAUAGGGCAUCAGAAUCUGAUUGGCUAGGAGCAACACUAAUCUCUAUACAAAUGAUGUACAUUGUAUAGACCUGUCAUCAAAUACUGUUCUGUAGCUGUAGCUUGCAUUUAGGAUGGAUUCUGCCAAAACUGAUUAUAUCCAAGUAAGAAGUUGAAAACCUAAGAGUAGAACUCAAUGUGGCUCAGGUUAUCCUUUUAGCACAAUUCUAUUUCUUCUGUGGGAAUGAACAGCAGAAAAUUAUCAGAGCAGUUUAGCUGUAUUCUCCUUUAUAUGCUUCAAGGGUAAGCAGAGAAACAUCUUUCCUUUUUCAUUACAUAGUACUGUCUUUUCCAGUGGAUUCUAAUGCAAAGUUUAGAAUUACUUAACUUCCAAAAACUUUAACCACUGGCAAAGAAAUACAGUGGAUGGAAUAUGAUAGUGCUAGAAUGAGAAUGCCAACAAUGCAGGAAGACUGAAACCAUGUAUACCAAUGAAGACAAAGAAACUUAGUUACACUGACUGUGAAGCUCCAAAGGAUGAAAUUUUAGGCUGCUAUAUUUGGAGUUAGAGUUUAUGCUUUCUCCAUAAUUAUGGGCAACUUCUGCAUUUUUGGAAUUCAAGGUUUUCUCUAAAUCUCUGCUUUUGGAGGUAUUGGCUUGCCUUCUAGACCAGCUGUCAUGCUGAUUCUCAAAUGUGAACACAAAGGCAUUAGUUAAUAGUAUCCUCUGGCUCUUUGGUUAUUUUUUUUUUCUGUCAAACUGCAGUCAGCCCACAAUACUGCAUGCUGCUCCCCAAAUGAAAUAAGCUUGUGCAUCUUGUUUCACAAUUCACAGGGAGUAAGUGGAUAUCCCAAAAAUGAUGUACAUGUGGUUACACUGCUUGAGCAAUAAGGUUGAGGUAUAGAGGCAAAAUGAUGAACUCUAGCACAGUGAGCAACAUAGAAUUAUUUCAUUUUAAUUCAUUCACUUUAACCACUUUAUUUCACAUAAACUAUUUUACUUUGCUAUCUCCCACUGAAUUACUAUGAUUUUGUCAAGUAAGUGUUCAUACUUGCUAGUCUGUAAAGAGAAGGUAAGGAAUAGCUUUUGCAAGAGUUUCCUUAACAUGGAGUAAAGCAGUACAGACUAUUCUGGAAUCAGCUUCUUGGAUUAUGCUCAAGAAAAGCAGCACAAGGUUUCUCAUUUAGUACUAUUUGGAUUAUGGUACUAUAAAAAUGAAUUAGAAAACCCCCAACAAAACAGAGCUAGCCAAAUAAUUAUAUCAUGUGUGCAGAAGUCAGCACUCCCUUCUUUCAUUCCUAGCAUGCUCUCUAGAUUUACUGUAAAAUUAUGAUAGAACCCCUGAGUUACGUACUUUGUUUUUUUAAACCAAUAUUAUAAGGUUAAUACUUUUACUAUAGAGGUUUAGAAGUUAAUUGACAUAAAAGAUUCCAAAAUUCAGAGCUUUACUGGAAAUCAUAACAUAUGAACUUGAAUUGAUAUGAAUCAAUUGGGUAGUUUCUAAUCUAUCCCUAUUAGAAGUCUUCUGGUAUUCUGUCCCAUUUUCAUUAGCUCUUCACAGUGCCAUUAGUAUGUUUAAACAUUCCAAGUAUAUCUCUACACAUUCUGAAACAGGUCUGUUAGUUUUCCUCUGCUUAUGAAGAGAUGAUAAUACAGUACAUACAAGACUUAUAUUCAUCCUAAGGUUUCUCUACUUAUAUCCCUUGGAAUUCUGAGAGCCAUCCUUCCACUCUGAAGUGAAGCAACAUUGGCUUUUAAUGUGACAGACAGAAGUCCACACUGAGUGCAUAUGUUUAUUAAUAUCCCACUCAAGAUCUACUGGAAAAAAUGCUAUCUUGAUCCCUAAGAAUAAAAAAAUUCCUAUUUGAUUAACAAGUAAAAGCUUACAAAGAGAGUGAAUUAAGAAAAGGUGCUGCUACUUCCAAAUGUGGCCAAGAAAAAUAAAAAAAA